GACGAACGCUGGCGGCGUGCUUAACACAUGCAAGUCGAACGAAGUGGCGAACGGGUGAGUAAUGCGUAAUCAACCUGCCCUUCCGAGGGGGACACCAGUUGGAACCGACUGCUACUACCGCAUACUGAAGGACGGGAUUGCGUCUGAUUAGCUAGUUGGAGGGGUAACGGCCCACCAAGGCGAUGAUCAGUAGCCGGUCUGGGAGGAGGAACGGCCACAUUGGGACUGAGACACGGCCCAGACUCCUACGGGAGGCAGCAGGGGGGAAUCUGCCGCAAUGGACGAAAGUCUGACGGAGCAACGCCGCGUGAGUGAUGACAGCCUUCGGGUUGUAAAGCUCUGUUAAUCGGGACGCGGUACCGGAAUAGGAAGCCACGGCUAACUACGUGCCAGCAGCCGCGGUAAUUC
rnacentral:rRNA from 1 species